rnacentral:rRNA from 1 species
UACGUAGGGGUCGAGCGUUGUCCGGAGUUACUGGGCGUAAAGCGUGUGCAGGCGGCGCAUCGCGCCCGGCGUGAAAGCCCACGGCUCAACCGUGGAGGGUCAUUGGAAACUGGGGGAACUUGAGUGCAGGAGAGAAGAGUGGAAUUCCACGUGUAGCGGUGAAAUGCGUAGAGAUGUUGAGGAACACCAGUGGCGAAGGCGACUCUUUGGCCUGUAACUGACACUGAGGCGCGAAAGCGUGGG